UGAAGGUGGCCUGUGAGGGUUGCUGGAGGUAUCAGAAGUGCGAAUGCUGACAUAAGUAACGAUAAAGCGGGUGAAAAGCCCGCUCGCCGGAAGACCAAGGGUUCCUGUCCAACGUUAAUCGGGGCAGGGUGAGUCGACCCCUAAGGCGAGGCCGAAAGGCGUAGUCGAUGGGAAACGGGUUAAUAUUCCCGUACUUGGUGUUACUGCGAAGGGGGGACGGAGAAGGCUAUGUUGGCCGGGCGACGGUUGUCCCGGUUUAAGCGUGUAGGCUGGUUUUCCAGGCAAAUCCGGAAAAUCAAGG
rnacentral:rRNA from 1 species